UAGGGAAUCUUCGGCAAUGGACGAAAGUCUGACCGAGCAACGCCGCGUGAGUGAAGAAGGUCUUCGGAUCGUAAAACUCUGUUGGUAGAGAAGAACGUUGGUGAGAGUGGAAAGCUCAUCAAGUGACGGUAACUACCCAGAAAGGGACGGCUAACUACGUGCCAA
rnacentral:rRNA from 1 species